GAUGAACGCUGGCGGCGUGCCUAAUACAUGCAAGUCGAGCGAACGGACGAGAAGCUUGCUUCUCUGAUGUUAGCGGCGGACGGGUGAGUAACACGUGGAUAACCUACCUAUAAGACUGGGAUAACUUCGGGAAACCGUAGCUAAUACCGGAUAAUAUUUUGAACCGCAUGGUUCAAAAGUGAAAGACGGUCUUGCUGUCACUUAUAGAUGGAUCCGCGCUGCAUUAGCUAGUUGGUAAGGUAACGGCUUACCAAGGCAACGAUGCAUAGCUGACCUGAGAGGGUGAUCAGUCACACUGGAACUGAGACACGGUCCAGACUCCUACGGGAGGCAGCAGUGGGGAAUAUUCGACAAUGGGCGAAAGCCUGAUCCAGCCAUGCCGCGUGUGUGAAGAAGGUCUUCGGAUUGUAAAACACUGUUAGUUGGGAAGAAGAGAAGUAAGUGAAUCCCUUGCUGUCUUGACGUUACCAAAAGAAUAAGCACCGGCUAACUUCGUG
rnacentral:rRNA from 1 species